GGGGRCAUCAAGAGCGCUGUUCAUGACCUAGACCUCUACACAAACAAAAUAUUUUAAUCUUCUAGAUGAUACUAAGAAGCAGAUAAAUCCUACAGUACAGAAGAAGGUGAAAAGCAGCAGCUAAUCACACAUGGAAAAAAUAAUUCUCUCCUCCUGACCCCAAAUCUGGAACCUGGAUUACAGUUUGGCUU
rnacentral:lncRNA from 1 species